rnacentral:rRNA from 1 species
GACGAACGCUGGCGGCGUGCUUAACACAUGCAAGUCGAACGGAAAGGCCCUGCUUUCGUGGGGUGCUCGAGUGGCGAACGGGUGAGUAACACGUGAGUAACCUGCCCUUGACUUUGGGAUAACUUCAGGAAACUGGGGCUAAUACCGGACAGGAGCUCCUGCUGCGUGGAGGGGGUUGGAAAGUUUCGGCGGGCGGGGAUGGACUCGCGGCUUACCAGCUUGUUGGUGGGGGAGUGGUUUACCAAGGCUUUGACGGGUACCCGGCCUGAGAGGGUGACCGGCGACAUUGGGACUGAGGGACGGCCCAGACUCCUACGGGGGGCAGCAGUGGGAAAUAUUGCACAGUGGGCGGAAGCCUGAUGCGGCGACGCCGCGGGCGGAAUGACGGCCUUCGGGUUGUAAACCGCUUUCGCCUGUGACGAAGCGUGAGUGACGGUAAUGGGUGAAGAAGCACCGGCUAACUACGUG